rnacentral:rRNA from 1 species
GUGUCAGCCGCCGCGGUAAUACAGAGGGUGCAAGCGUUAAUCGGAUUUACUGGGCGUAAAGCGUGCGUAGGUGGUGGUGUAAGUCGGAUGUGAAAGCCCUGGGCUCAACCUGGGAACUGCAUUCGAUACUGCAUUACUAGAGUUCGGUAGAGGGCGGCGGAAUUCCGGGUGUAGCGGUGAAAUGCGUAGAUAUCCGGAGGAACACCGAUGGCGAAGGCAACCGCCUGGGCCUGAACUGACACUGAGGCACGAAAGCGUGGGGAGCAAACAGGAUUAGAAACCCGCGUAGUCC